CCUUUCAAGAAAGAAGAAAAAAAAAAACAAGGUUGAUGGCUAAUACCAAGGUCACGGUGGAAAAUAGGAUAAUUCUAUAUCCAUGAACACGUAAAUAAUGGAAACUUUGAGCUGGACAACAAUCAACUAGUUUUUAAUGACGUAUGCACAUCAUAUGAAAAACAACAAAGAGAACAAAGAGGAAGAAAUAACGUUUGAUGUGAUUUGAUUAUGAUUUUUGACACAUCAGCACAUUUUUUGGCCAUGUCUUGAAUACCUUCGUGUCAGAGUGAUUUUAAACAUGACCAUUCUUCACACAUGACAGAUUGACAAAUCUCUUCAUAAUCCUUAUAUCAGAACAAGCGGGUUUUUGACAAGGUCCCACUACAACAGAACAAAUCCUAAACCUCAGAAUAGUCUGUAAGAAAUACCUUUAACAUUUAUUCAUUUUUUAUCUAUUUAUGUGAAUGUUUCUGUUGUGUUGUUUUUAUAUGACAAAAGAAUCCUUGAAUCACAAAAAAUUUCCAUAAGGAUCAUAAGCAGUCUUAGUCUUAGUAACAUCAAGAAAAUCUUUUCCGUGUCUUUAUUGAUUUCAAGAAAGCUCUCGACAAAGUAUGGCUUGAUGCACUCUGGAAAAAUACAAUAUAAAUCAAAACAACAAAAGUUACCCAAAACAUCUAAAAG